rnacentral:rRNA from 1 species
UACGUAGGGUGCAAGCGUUGUCCGGAAUAUUGGGCGUAAAGAGCUCGUAGGCGGUCUGUCGCGUCGGCUGUGAAAAACUCGGGGCUCAACUCCGAGCUUGCAGUCGAUACGGGCAGGCUAGAGUUCGGCAGGGGAGACUGGAAUUCCUGGUGUGGCGGUGAAAAUGCGCAGGAUAUCAAAGAGGAACACCGGUGGCGAAAGGGCGGGUCUCUGGGCCGAUACUGACGCUGAGGAGCGAAAGCGUGGGAGCGAACAGG